rnacentral:rRNA from 1 species
AAGCCCUACGGGGCGCAGCAGUAGGGAAUCUUCCACAAUGGGCGAAAGCCUGAUGGAGCAACGCCGCGUGGGUGAAGAAGGUCUUCGGAUCGUAAAACCCUGUUGUUAGAGAAGAAAGUGCGUGAGAGUAACUGUUCACGUUUCGACGGUAUCUAGCCAGAAAGCCACGGCUAACUACGUGCCAGCAGCCGCGGUAAUACGUAGGUGGCAAGCGUUAUCCGGAUUUAUUGGGCGUAAAGGGAACGCAGGCUGUCUUUUUAGUC